UGGGGAAUUUUGGACAAUGGGCGAAAGCCUGAUCCAGCAAUGCCGCGUGUGUGAAGAAGGCCUUCGGGUUGUAAAGCACUUUUGUCCGGAAAGAAAUCCUUGGCUCUAAUACAGUCGGGGGAUGACGGUACCGGAAGAAUAAGCACCGGCUAACUACGUGCCAGCAGCCGCGGUAAUACGUAGGGUGCAAGCGUUAAUCGGAAUUACUGGGCGUAAAGCGUGCGCAGGCGGUUUGCUAAGACCGAUGUGAAAUCCCCCGGGACUCAACCUGGGAACUGCAUUGGUGACUGGCAGGCUAGAGUAUGGCAGAGGGGGGUAGAAUUCCACGUGUAGCAGUGAAAUGCGUAGAGAUGUGGAGGAAUACCGAUGGCGAAGGCAGCCCCCUGGGCCAAUACUGACGCUCAUGCACGAAAGCGUGGGGAGCAAACAGGAUUAGAUACCCUGGUAGUCCACGCCCUAAACGAUGUCAACUAGUUGUUGGGGAUUCAUUUCCUUAGUAACGUAGCUAACGCGUGAAGUUGACCGCCUGGGGAGUACGGUCGCAAGAUUAAAACUCAAA
rnacentral:rRNA from 1 species